CCGGCCAAAGCAAGAACAAAGGAAGAAAAAGGAAGAACAAAACCCUAGGUAGAAAAAUUCAAGGGAAAAGUGUGAAAAUUCAAGGAAACAAGUGAAAAAAUGUUAGAUUUUUUCAAUUAAGCUUGAGAUCUCUCUUUCUUAAGCAUUUUUUCUUAUUUUCCAUGGUUGAAUCACAUGAAAUCAUGAUGAAUCCCUUGCUGGCUGAACACUUAGAGGGAGGUUUUGAUGCUUGAUUUGGUUAGAUUUCAAUGUAUUUUAGUGUUUUUAGUUAGUUAGUGAUGUGUAGCAUGAAAAGCCAACAAGAAAAAUUCACUUCCUCCCAUCACCCAUCAUUGGCCGAAUUCUCCAUGUGGAAUAUUGAUGAUGAUUUUGAUUUUAUUUCAAGUAAAUUGGUUAGGAAAUGAUGAAUUACAGUGAGAAAAUCAAGUAAGAAAAAUCAUAGUAUUGAUGAACCCACCAUGGCCGAAAUUUCCAAGAGAAAAUGUGAAGAUGAUUUUGCCAUAUUUCAAGUUAUUUAACUUGUGUUUGAU
rnacentral:lncRNA from 1 species